rnacentral:rRNA from 1 species
GAUGAACGCUAGCGGCAGGCCUAAUACAUGCAAGUCGAACGAGAUUAAGAGGCUUGCUUCUUAUGAAAGUGGCGCACGGGUGCGUAACGCGUAUGCAACCUACCUUAAUCAGGGGGAUAGCCCGAAGAAAUUCGGAUUAAGACCGCAUAAAAACACAGGAUAGCGUUAUCCAAUGUUCAAAUAUUUAUAGGAUUAAGAUGGGCAGGCGUGUCAUUAGCUAGUUGGCGGGGUAACGGCCCACCAAGGCGACGAUGACUAGGCGAUCUGAGAGGAUGACCCCCCAAACGGGUACUGAGACACGGACAAGACUCCUACGGGAGGCAGCAGUAAGGAAUAUUGGGCAAUGGAGGGAACUCUGAACCAGCCAGGCCGCGUGAAGGAAGACAGCCCUCUGGGUCGUAAACUGCUGUUAUUCGGGAAUAAAACUUUCUACGUGUAGGAAGCUGAAGGUACCGAAGGAAUAAGGAUCGGCUAACUACGUG